rnacentral:rRNA from 1 species
AUUGAACGCUGGCGGCAGGCCUAACACAUGCAAGUCGAGCGGAUGAAGGGAGCUUGCUCCUGGAUUCAGCGGCGGACGGGUGAGUAAUGCCUAGGAAUCUGCCUGGUAGUGGGGGAUAACGUCCGGAAACGGGCGCUAAUACCGCAUACGUCCUGAGGGAGAAAGUGGGGGAUCUUCGGACCUCACGCUAUCAGAUGAGCCUAGGUCGGAUUAGCUAGUUGGUGGGGUAAGGGCCUACCAAGGCGACGAUCCGUAACUGGUCUGAGAGGAUGAUCAGUCACACUGGAACUGAGACACGGUCCAGACUCCUACGGGAGGCAGCAGUGGGGAAUAUUGGACAAUGGACGAAAGCCUGAUCCAGCCAUGCCGCGUGUGUGAAGAAGGUCUUCGGAUUGUAAAGCACUUUAAGUUGGGAGGAAGGGCAGUAAGUUAAUACCUUGCUGUUUUGACGUUACCAACAGAAUAAGCACCGGCUAACUUCGUG